GGGCGUGCGGACCGCCCAGGCUGCUCCGGGGCCGUCCCCGCCCCGACCGCCGCAGACUCCGCCCCGCGCGUCACUUCCUCCGCGGCCUCGGGCCGGGCUGCGACUGCGGCUGCAGGCCAUGGUGGCUCUGGACGACCCUAACGGCGGCCCGGAGGCGACCCCCGGCGCGGAGACCAGGCUGCCCCUCCCCGGCUGCCUGCCCACGCUCGGCGGCUCACAGGUGAAGAGGGUCUCGGCCUCCAGGCGCAAGCAACAUUUUAUCAACCAGGCCGUGCGGAACUCGGACCUGGUGCCCAAAGCCAAGGGACGGAAGAGUCUGCAGCGCUUGGAGAACACCCGGUACCUCCUCACACUGCUGGAGACGGCUGGGGGUCCGCCAGGCCCGGAAGACGGGGACGGGACUCCGCCCGCGGCGCCGGGCAUCUUCGCAGAGGCCUGCAGCAAUGCCACCUACGUGGAGGUCUGGAAUGAUUUUAUGAACCGCUCAGGAGAGGAGCAAGAGCGAGUGCUCCGCUACCUGGAGGAUGAGGGUCAGGGCAAGAGGAGGCGCGGGCCUGGCCGUGGGGAGGACCGGCGGAGAGAGGACCCCGCCUUCACACCUCAUGAGUGUUUCCGGCGCAUCAGCCGUCGCCUGCGGUCUGUGCUCAAGCGCAGCCGCAUCCCGAUGGAAACCCUGGAGAGUUGGGAGGAACGGCUGCUGGCCUUCUUCUCGGUGUCUCCCCAGGCUGUGUACACCGCCAUGCUGGACAACAGCUUCGAGAGGCUCCUGCUCCAUGCCGUCUGCCAGUACAUGGACCUCAUCUCAGCCAGUGCUGACCUGGAGGGCCGGAGGCAGAUGAAAGUCAGCAACCGCCACCUGGACUUCCUGCCCCCGGAGCUGCUGCUGUCCGCCUACCUGGACCAGCAGUGACGGCGCAGCCCCGCCUGCCGCUCGCCGGCCCAGACCUCCGGCGUCUGCUAAUGUCUUGCAUACUUUCAGAAUCAGAACACCCCACUUCCCUUGGGGCGUGCCCGUGCCCCGCCCGCCCCUCCGUGGCCCAGCUCGGCUGAGCUCCCCGCUCUGGUACUUGUGUCUGGGUGGGGAGACCUGAGCUGGCAUCUCCUGCCCUUUCUCUGUUUGGCUUUUCUUUGGUGCAGUCCUGCAGCUCAGGCGAGGGGACCAGACUCUUUUAUUUCCCCCACUGAUCAGUUUUAAUGAAUUUGGCACGUUUGGGAUAGGUUUGUUUUAAUUUCUCUUUUGAAAUGGAGAGACACAACCAAAACACCUAGCGCCAGCCGGUAGUGGGUUCUGUUGUGACCCCUGCCUGACCCCAGGUUUCAGCUCUGAUGGGGUGUCUGGUCUGCUCGCUUCCCAGGGCACCUUGUCGAGAGAGUGUGUGUGUGUGUGUGUGUGUGUGUGUGUGCACGCCAUGCGCCCGGUGAAUCUGGACAAGCUUUGUCUCAAGGGCUGAUUUUAUGCUUUUUGUUUUGUUUUGGUGAUGUGUGUAUCCUGCCCCGACUCCCUGGGCUCUGCCUGCCCGUCCGCCCCUCCUGUCUCUCCUUACACCAAGGGUGCAGAACUUCCAGCCAGAAGCCUCUGACCUUGCGUGCCCUCCCCCCUGCCCCCUCUGCGCCCCGCAGAGCUGUGGUUCCCGCAGAGGCCUCCCAUGAUCCGCAGGCCUGCCCUGCCCGCCCGCCCCUCCGUGUGGUUCUUCGUGCUUGUGGGAAAGGGACACUUUUAAUAAAGCCUUGGUGCUCGGG